rnacentral:rRNA from 1 species
GGGAGGUAGUGACAAUAAAUAACAAUACGGGGUUCUUUCGGAUCUCGUAAUUGGAAUGAGUACAAUUUAAAUCUCUUAACGAGGAACAAUUGGAGGGCAAGUCUGGUGCCAGCAGCCGCGGUAAUUCCAGCUCCAAUAGCGUAUAUUAAAGUUGUUGCAGUUAAAAAGCUCGUAGUUGAACUUCGGGGUUCACCCAUUGGUCAGGCUUAAUUGUCUGUACUGGUGAGAUGAGUCUCUACCUUCUGAGGAACUCUCAUGCCAUUUAUUUGGUGUGGUUGGAAAUCAGGACUGUUACUUUGAAAAAAUUAGAGUGUUUAAAGCAGGCUAACGUCUGAAUACAUUAGCAUGGAAUAAUGAAAUAGGACGGAUUGAUUCUAUUUCGUUGGUUUCUAGGGUCACCGUAAUGAUUAAUAGGGAUAGUUGGG